UGAGGACACAGGGGAGGAGAAGAGUGGGGGAAAUGAGGUUGGGACAAUGGAAAAGAAAAGCAAAACACCUGAUCUCUUGUUCCAGGAAUCCCUGUGGACUGCAGAGCAGGAGGAAGAAGAGGAAGGGAGUGAGUACUCUGCAAAAUAUUCCCCUUGGCUGCUACCCAAGAACUCCUAUGGGAAACUAAGGGACUGCAUAUGAACAUCCU
rnacentral:lncRNA from 1 species